AACUCGAAAGGGAUUUGCCAUUUUGACUUCGUGACUCGUCUCUUCUACCGGCUCGCCCGAGUCGACUCACUUGAGUUGGGCUCCGAAUCCCCGCAGAGUCCAUUUUCCCCACCAUCAACCUCUACGGUGCGAUCCUGCUUCGAUCAGGAGCAAAAUACAUAUGCAGCUGCAGAUGCACACUGUUUGCUUAAAAUACUUGCUGUUCUCAAAGAAGGUAAUCUGAAAUUUCCCAUAGAAGCCGAAAAUGGAGGCUACAUUGAUGCCGAAAAUGGAUUCAUGUGAUACCCAACUGCUUGCUUGACAAGAAUUUGGAGUUGUGGCAGUGCAGAGCAUUCACAGGUAUCUUCUGAUCUAGUAGUUUCAAGCAUGACCGUGGAGAAGAUCCAUAAACUUUUUUUCUUUAUCGAGUUAAUAAAUUAGAGAGUAGUGCUACUUAUGCCAAAGUGUUAAAUAGAGUUGCUUGACCGAACUGUUUUGAUUGGUCAUGUAUGCACUCAUGACCAAUCAAAACGGUUCGGUCAAGCCAUUCACUUCAAUUCAUUGACCUUAAAAGCAUUUUCCUAUAUUAAAAGGAAUCCUUCUGGUGCUUGAAAUGUUGGAGAAUGACAAGCUUGCCAUGUGGCAAUCACCUAACCAAAAUCCGUGGACACAUCAGGUAUGUAAAUGAGGACCAAAAAUCAUUUCUUGAGAAUAAUGGCUAGGGGGGCAUAGAUAGUGUUUACAAGCUUUCAUUUGUUGAGCAAUAGAGAGAUGACGUCCAUUUGCAAUAUGAGGUUCAUUUUUAUGACUAGCAAUACAAGUGGAUAGCAGAUUGGGGUGCCUUCAAUAAAGGCAUAUAUUAUUGACAGCAUUUCAAUUUGGCUGAGGGAUAGCAUUACUAUAGGAGAGUCUACGCUUUCCUACAAUAACAUGUUCUUUUGACAUUGCACAUUGGAAUAGUGGGCGAAUUUUUUCUGCCAAGUAGAAUGUUCUAAAGCAAUUUUAAGGGAAUGUUACUGUGAGGGAUAUGAUCCUGUUUGAUGGGAUCUUCUACGUCAGUAGUCGAUCCUUGCUGUCCCGACAUGUUGUCAGUAUGCAGAAAUCAACGUGAUUCUGAGUUUGGCGAGAACACGUGUCACCUUGAAAAACUUGUGCAUUCUCCUUCACUAGAAGUGCCACUCACCUCCCAUCUUUCACUUGUCAAGGAAUCCAUCAAGUGUAAUAGAGAGAAAUGGAGUUGUUGGGACCUUGGGCGUUAGAUUUGGUGUGUUUUAGUCAGAUGUUAGAAACAACUAACCACUUAUCUAGAAAUUGAAUAUCAUCAAACAUGACAUUUAACACAUUUAUCUUGUGAAUGAACAUUAUUAUGUAGGGAAAGAGAAAUGAUUCAGUAUAUGGUUUAUUGAUUUCUUGCCUCUCUAUCGGAUAAGACAUGCAUCCCUCACAUUAUGGGGUAAGUGGUGGCUAUGGUUUGACAUCUUAUGAAUGGAUGAGAUGAGGCUUCCUUAGGGCCCCGCCUUGAGUAAGUGGUCAUCUUUGGGAAACAUGAGCCCUGAACCCACCUUCACGUAUUAUUGUAUCAAAUACCCCUCAUUUAAUUCUGCAACUAAUGCCUCUACCAAGUCAAAUAAGUCCUCACUUCAAGAAUUUUGUUUGUUUCCUGCUAUGUAUUUAGCCGCAUGAGACUCCAGCCAUUGCGAAGUCUGGUACCUCCAUGCCUCCGUAUGGAUAGGCAGUUUUCAGUUUCGAAUUCGUGACUUUCAGGUCAAAAUGGAGCAACUUUACUGUUACGUCAAAACCCACUCUCGUUCUCCUAUUUACUUGCUUCGAUUGAAAUCUCACUUCAAACUUGGUACAACUUGUCGAUAUUAUUAUUACUAGGAAACACUGCUGAAGUGUGUGUUCUGUUCAUCACAGGGAACCCAACACCUUAAUUCAGUGCAGAAGUUCAUGAAUGUUUGCAAGCGAAUAAAUGAGUGACUUGAUGCCAAUAUGUUUGACAAUCUUAUUUUCCCUUUUGAUUCAAUAAUGAUUAAUUAUUGGUGUUAUAUAAAAUAAUGCGACAAUUAGAUCAAAUAGAUGGUUUGUUUUGUUUAAUGCAGGGAUGGAUCAAAUUGCUGUGAUUGCUUCAAUUAUAAAUUGGAGGAGUUUGGUCAUCAAAGCACUAACCUUUUUUAUUUUAUAUUACUGACUGGAUUGACUAAAAUUUGUUGGUAGGCAAGCACUUUACAGAGGCUAAUGGGUUGGAAGUUUCAAGCUUGAGGCUCGUUUGCAAUAGACAAAAGUUGAAAUCAACUUUAUUAUUUUGUGGGCCCCACACGUUAAUUCUACUUAGUGGGUGGGUCCAUCUGUGUAGGACUAAAAGUCGUACCUUUGUCAAGAAGUAAAUUCCUUUUAUUAGUUAAGCCUUACGAAACUAUAAAUACGUUAUAUACCUUUGUCGAAGGUCAAAGAAGAUUUCCUUUGUAGGGUCAUGUAAGAAUACCAUAUUUUUUUUUUUUUUCCAGUAAUUUAGAGAAAUACUUGUAUAUAAGAGUUUUUGGAUGUACAAUGUGUUUUUAUUAUAGAUGUUUUGCUUAAUUUAGGCCAGUUUGGUUGUAAAGAAAUGGAAGAAAAAGAGAAAAUGGAGGGAUAUAUAUUAAAAAAUUGAUGAUUUGGUUUUGUUAAUCGCUUAAAAAUAAGAGGUAAAAAUAAGAGGGAAUGGAAAGAAAGACUAGUAUUUUUAAUAAAACUUUGACAAUGUCAAAUUUGGCUUUUUUUUUUUUUUUUUUUCAAAAAAAAAAAAAAUAUAUAUGAAAAAAGGUAUGUUGAUAAAUUUAUUAAAAUAAUUUCAAAAUUUUUCUUUUUCUAAAUAUGA